CCUACGGGUGGCAGCAGUGGGGAAUAUUGGGCAAUGGGCGCAAGCCUUACCCAGCAAUACCGCGUGAGUGAAGAAGGUCUUCGGAUUGUAAAGCUCUUUGAUCAGGGACGAACAGAUGACGGUACCUGAAGAACAAGCCCCGGCUAAAUACGUGCCAGCAGCCGCUGUAAAACGGAGGGGGCGGGCUUUGUCCGGAAUGACUGGGGGUGAAGGGUGCGUAGGCGGCAUAAUAAGUUAGAAGUGAAAUACCUGGAGCUUAACUGGGGUGCUGCUUCUAAGACUGGUGUGCUUGAGUGCGGGAGAGGUUAAUGGAAGUCCGAGUGUAGCGGUGGAAUGCGUAGAUAUUAGGAGGAACACCAGAGGCGAAGGCGAUUAACUGGACCGUAACUGACGCUGGGGCACGAAAGUGUGGGUAGCAAACAGGAUUAGAUACCCUUGUAGUC
rnacentral:rRNA from 1 species